AUACGGAGGGGGUUAGCGUUGUUCGGAAUUACUGGGCGUAAAGCGCACGUAGGCGGACUGGAAAGUUGGGGGUGAAAUCCCGGGGCUCAACCCCGGAACUGCCUCCAAAACUUCCAAUCUAGAGAUCGAGAGAGGUGAGUGGAAUUCCAAGUGUAGAGGUGAAAUUCGUAGAUAUUUGGAGGAACACCAGUGGCGAAGGCGGCUCACUGGCCCGAUACUGACGCUGAGGCGCGAAAGCGUGGGGAGCAAACAGGAUUAGAUACCCUAGUAGUCC
rnacentral:rRNA from 1 species